GGGAAGGCAGAAGCUCCAAGCUUGCCCAUUGUGGGCAGAGGAAUCCUCCUCGCAUCAUCACCGCUGGUGCUGGCUGGGUCUCCACUUGUAAAACUGUAAAAGCUGCCAGGAGUGAAGCUGUGAAAUAUUUUGAGAAGCAUUGAAUUAGCAUGGAGGAAACACCUGAGAAUCCCUGACGAGGAAAAUGGAAUCGAAUUCCAACCUCACUGGCUCUCUAUGCCACCUCAGGUAAGUAACUCUGGUCUACUGUUGCUGGAUUUUGUGUAUCCAGUGUUUUCACUAGGAGUGCAGAAGAUGGAGCUGGAGAAGCACUUCAGGCGUUAAAGAGAAACAGGCACGGAAUAAAAGAUAAAGCUGCACAUCUCCAGUGGUUUGUGCAUCCUUGCAGCAGAGUAGAAAAUUUGAUGAACGGCUGCUGGAAGCACAUCUUCACAUCUUUCAGAGAUGGAAUGUAUUAGCAGCGAUGGAAUGGAUUUUCCAUUUUCUUUAAUAGAGUGGAACGGAUUAUCCCAGUCUGGAGGCCUGACCAGGAUCCAAAUCACAACAAAGUAGAGAUUGACAUUUUCCUUACCCUUCCUGUAAUUUAGGAAAAGGUGGAAGUGCAAUUGGGGUCUUGGCUUGUCAAGCUACCUUGCUGAUAUGCUGGCCACUUAUAUGGACAGAGCUUAGGGUCCCAGCAAAUCUCAUUGAUCCAUUCAAACCAGUCUGUGACCUCUCAGAGUUCUCUCCAACUUGUCAAUUUCAUUAAUGUGUGUCUCCAGCUAAAGGAGUUACUGUUGUGGGAUAUACUAAUGGUAUGGAAGUGUAAUCCCCUUGUUUCCAAAGCCACAACAAAGUGGCCUUUGAUUUUGAGGAUUGUAUAAUCACAGAUUGGGAGGCAUUGGCAAAGGCCUCCAAUCUCUGUGUUCUGAAAGAUUCUGAGACUAGAUCGUGUUAUUUCCACAUAACAUGUAUUUCUUGCAGUCUCCAAGUCAUGAAGCUGCAAAGCCUAAUGAGAUUUUGAUCUUAAUCUUUUUUCCAGUACAUAAAACAAACAAA